rnacentral:rRNA from 1 species
GCAUGUCUAAGUAUAAGCAAUUCUAUACUGUGAAACUGCGAAUGGCUCAUUAAAUCAGUUAUCGUUUAUUUGAUAGUACCUUACUACUUGGAUAACCGUGGUAAUUCUAGAAGCUAAUACAUGCUAAAAACCCCGACUUCGGAAGGGGUGUAUUUAUUAGAUAAAAAACCAAUGCCCUUCGGGGCUCCUUGGUGAAUCAUGAUAACUUAACGAAUCGCAUGGCCUUGCGCCGGCGAUGGUUCAUUCAAAUUUCUGCCCUAUCAACUUUCGAUUGUAGGAUAGUGGCCUACAAUGGUUUCAACGGGUAACGGGGAAUUAGGGUUCUAUUCCGGAGAGGGAGCCUGAGAAACGGCUACCACAUCCAAGGAAGGCAGCAGGCGCGCAAAUUACCCAAUCCCGAUACGGGGAGGUAGUGACAAUAAAUACUGAUACAGGGCUCUUUUGGGUCUUGUAAUUGGAAUGAGUACAAUUUAAAUACCUUAACGAGGAACAAUUGGAGGGCAAGUCUGGUGCCAGCAGCCGCGGUAAUUCCAGCUCCAAUAGCGUAUAUUAAAGUUGUUGCAGUUAAAAAGCUCGUAGUUGAACCUUGGGCCUGGCUGGCCGGUCUGCCUCACCGCAUGUACUGGUUCGGCCGGGUCUUUCCUCCUGGGGAUCCGCAUGCCCUUCACUGGGUGUGUUGGGGAACCAGGACUUUUACUUUGAAAAAAUUAGAGUGUUCAAAGCAGGCCUUUGCUCGAAUACAUUAGCAUGGAAUAAUAGAAUAGGACGUGCGGUCCUAUUUUGUUGGUUUCUAGGACCGCCGUAAUGAUUAAUAGGGAUAGUCGGGGGCAUCAGUAUUCAGUUGUCAGAGGUGAAAUUCUUGGAUUUACUGAAGACUAACUACUGCGAAAGCAUUUGCCAAGGAUGUUUUCAUUAAUCAGUGAACGAAAGUUAGGGGAUCGAAGACGAUCAGAUACCGUCGUAGUCUUAACCGUAAACUAUGCCCGACUAGGGGAUCGGGCGAUGUUAUUCUUUUGACUCGCUCGGCACCUUACGAGAAAUCAAAGUCUUUGG